rnacentral:rRNA from 1 species
CCUACGGGAGGCAGCAGUCGAGAAUCAUUCACAAUGGGGGAAACCCUGAUGGUGCAACGCCGCGUGGGGGAAUGAAGGUCUUCGGAUUGUAAACCCCUGUCAUGUGGGAGCAAAUUAAAAAGAUAGUACCACAAGAGGAAGAGACGGCUAACUCUGUGCCAGCAGCCGCGGUAAUACAGAGGUCUCAAGCGUUGUUCGGAAUCACUGGGCGUAAGGCGUGCGUAGGCUGUUUCGUAAGUCGUGUGUGAAAGGCGCGGGCUCAACCCGCGGACGGCACAUGAUACUGCGAGACUAGAGUAAUGGAGGGGGAACCGGAAUUCUCGGUGUAGCAGUGAAAUGCGUAGAUAUCGAGAGGAACACUCGUGGCGAAGGCGGGUUCCUGGACAUUAACUGACGCUGAGGCACGAAGGCCAGGGGAGCGAAAGGGAUUAGAUACCCCAGUAGUC